UUGAAACUAUGAUAGAUGGCGCUAAGUACAUAU
rnacentral:sRNA from 1 species